AAGGAUUAAUAAAGCUUGCAACUGCGUGCAGUCGCUUCUGCCUUUUCUCUGCACCCCCCGUGUCCUGGUUGGGUGCGACCAAACCCAGGGCCCCCAUUGCACUAGACAUUGACAAAUGGUACCCAAACAGGGACCCUGAAGAUGUAUUGUCUGGCACUAAUCCCAGAGGAAUGCAACCUAAUGAAUUGUGGCAGAUGGAUGUAAACCAUAUUCUGAGUUUGGUCGCCUUUCAUAUAUACAUGAAUCCAAUUAAACCAGCUGUACUUUCUCCUGAUGGAAGUCCUUCAGAGAUGAAGGAGGUGUCCUCCAUUACUGAGGCCAUGGCUUCUCUUAAGAUUGAUAAACAACAACAGAGAAGGAUGCGUACAGUGACAACCCCAUUGCCUACCUGGGGUCAGGUGAAGCAUUUAACCAUUGAAGGACGAAAAAUGUUGUCUCGUACGGGAAAGUUCUUUACUGCUGAGCAUUUAUUUUUAGCAAUGUGUGCUAUACUCACAGUAUCUUCUGCUGAGUUAUUGGGCUUAUAUUCCUAAUCCACCCUUAUUUGAGCCUUCUACUUGAGGGGAAACAGAUGUGGUGUUAUACAACACUCCAAACAUUUUAUCAUCUCCUUGGAAUAAUUUGACUUAUUUGAACAAGCAUGAUGGAACUUUGUAUAAUUUUACUUAUGCUGGCUCUAAGAUGCCUUUAUGUUUAGGACAGAGACCAUGACUCCAAAUGGGCUAUCAAAGUUGGCUAUUACCAGAAAUAAAUGUUACAGUUUCCAGGACUCUCUUGACAGCUUGGUCUAUAAACCAAAACUGGAAUAACAUUAUAUUUGUUAGUGAGUCAGUAUAUCCUAUUUGUGCUCAAUUUGCUUAUAUAGGCUUAAAAUAUCACCCAUUCAUUGGAAGAACUGCCUUGGCACAUUUGGAAAAAUUAUUCAAGAUAAAUAGAUAAAUUGGGGUCCUUAUGGUCAAUUUAUUAAUCAUGUUCAGAAUGGAAUGUUACCACUUGUGAUUUGUCUAAUGUUACCAGGAUGACCAGAGAGGAGAAGGAACACCUUAAUGGAUUCUUGCUGAUGGUAUGGGGAGAUGGUGGCAUUGCUGAUAAUUGACUGGCCUCUGUGGAAGAUCCUACUGCGUUUCAAAUUCACUUGUGGAAGACUGCUGCUGCAUUAGAAGAAGUUGUGCUUGCUAAUGGAAGCUUUUCUGGGACUGUUCAGUCUUCCUCUCAGUAUAAUUUUACCACAUUUAAAAAAGAAAAGGUUAGGGG
rnacentral:sRNA from 1 species